UCUUUCAAGGAGACACUAAAGGAACAAAUCCUACAGUUUUCCUUUGAUCCAUUCCUUUGAACCAAAUGCAUGAAUAGUAGUACCAUAGGAAACUUUCCAAUUCCUAUGUUUUUACUUCACUUUUCCUUUCAAGCACUGGCUAAACUGCUUGAAGUCCAGGCAAAAAGAGGUACUCUUUCUACAACUAUAUUAGUAUUAGUACCGAAUUUAAACGGGAAAUAGCUAAUGUAAAAUUUAUCUGAUAUAGAACACUCAUAUCGAUAAAAUGGUUUGAACUAUUUACUAGAAAAAAAAGGGGGCACCCUGCCCUUUUUUAACCAAUGCCGAAUCGACGACCUAUGUAUAAAAAAGAGAAAUUUUUUGGAUUUGAAGAAAAAAAAAAAGAAUUCUAUUAAUUUUCAUUUUCCGUUUAUUUAGUUAGUUUUAGGCAGGCUUGAGCAAGGAAAAGCCUACGCUCAGAAAAUGUUUUUGUGCUACUUCUACUACUUUGGACCCAGACCACUUCCCUACUAGCUCAACUCCUAGGCCCAUCGACAAAUGCAUAGCUCAAACACGCAGAGAUAAAUAAUGAUGGCGUUGAAGAGAGUCCAUCACGGAUAGCUAAUUUGCCUGGUACCUCACUGCUUGUCAUAUAGUAGGAGAAACUAAUCUUAUUUCAUGUUACUACGUGUGCUCAGUGGACAAUAUAUAGAACAUGUAGAGUAAAAAUAGAUGGAACAAGUGUACAACCUCUUUGGUGAAGCCAUGUCGAUCUCAGCGUGAUUGGGUUGGUCGGUGAGGAUGAUCCGACUGACUUGGCUGCCGGUGGAGGGGAAGAAGAUCUUAGGCAUCUUGAGAUGGAGCCCGGGGUACUGCUCCGCUGUGAUGGAGGGUUUCGUCAUUGGAGCAGCUUUGGUGAGUUGUACGACGCCGAGGCUGAAGCAGGACAAGAGAGACAAUGUUAACCUGAGUGGAAUUCUAAUAGCAUCUCCAAUAGAUGACGUAAAAUACAUAACCACAAAGUUCUAGAUGUAAAAUACAUCAGCCACUCAUCUCUGAACUUAACUGUCAAAACUGAAUUUAACUGUCGAAACUAAACUUAACUGUCAAAACUGAAUUUUGCUGUCGAAACUGAAUUUUACUGUCGAAACUGAAUGCACUAGUAGCAGAAAAGCAGUAGCAGCAGCGCAUGCGAGAGCCGGGGCAGCUGGUCGUGUAUCAGUUCAUCUUCAACCUCCACCCCCUGAGCCGCCAACCACCACCGGCCAAACUGCCGCUCCCACCGCCCGGGGCCGGCGGUGCGCCGCCCUGCCCGCCCAAAAACCAUUCCCCACCGCCGCCCCGGCCAUCCCUUUAGCCCCCACCCCCAAUGCUGAGCUUUUUCUCCGGCGAUCCCUACGCCACAACCCCACCACCGCCCCCACCCUGAACCCUAAGAUAGAUAGUACGGUACCUCUCCGGCGAGCCCCCCUCCCAGCUGCGGCUGGUUCUUCCUUAACUCCGGCGAGCCCCCCAUCCCCUAAAAAUCGACUGACCCAAAAGUCAAUUCAGUCGACUGAAGUGUAGCUAAAUCGGAGCAGCAUCGCAAGAAAGAGCAAGAGCGAGAGUAGUAGCGCAAGCAAUAGAAAGAGCAAGAGUAAGAGCAGAACAUGCAGGGGACCGAGAGCAAGAGCAGAGCAGCAGCGUGAGCGAGAGCUAAAGCAUCAAGAGCUCCUACUGAUGUGGACGUCGCCGCUGACGGAAUGACACCGUGGAGGAAGUGGGCCAGCGACACCGCCAUGGAUGGAUCCGCGCCAUGUUGCCUCAGGACCGAGCACCGGUAGCACCAUGAGAUAAAAUCAAGAAGAAAAUGCGGCGAUUAGUGUACAACCUCUUUGGUGGCGCUGAUUAGGCCUCAGCUUCAUCUGAGGAAAUGGUGAUGAUGCUGCUCUUCCGGUGGUGCAGGUGAAGACGGCGGUCUGAGAAUGGAGGUGGCGCGAAAGACGAGGGGUACGUCAGGGCAGCUCCUUGGAGGUGGAGGACGGGGUGGCUGAACCGGCAGGACGAUGAGAUCGACGACAGAUCCUCGUCAGGUACGAUGGAUGAGGGACGUCGAGGUGUUGUUGUGGAUGACGUCAUCGGGGAAGAGGCUCUGGCUGGGUGGCAGACCGAGGAGGGUGUGGGGCUUCGCGGGUUUUCGCAGCCUCGGUGUACGAAUGGGUGGGCUGAUGGGAUGGGAGUGGGGAACCAUGGCUUAGGGACACGCUUGUCCGAAAUGUGGGCUAAGUUACGGAAGUACCCCUACCGAUUUGAGCUAGGCAGUUCUUACGGUUAAGGGUAUCACUGGCAUUACGCGUGUCGGGAUUUCGUAGAAGGUGGUAGUUUUCGCGCGCAUUGUAAUUUUGGGAUAGCAAGGCACGGGUUGAGAUGGAGGGAGUUUUCGUAGCACAACAUGACAAAGAUAUAUCUUAAAUAUUUCGGGGUAACAAGGCACGGGUUGAAAUUUCCGGACAAGCCUAACAUGUACUGUACCAAAUCAAUUCGCACUUCCAUCGACGAAAAAACAAAAAGAAAUCAAUUCGCACCACACAAGAGAGUCUAGUCCCGUGUACUGUACGAAAUCAAUUCGCACUACAAAUGCCAUUCAAAACUUUGAAUUCAUGUUAUGUUCAAUUAAAAUUUUUUGCUAGUGCAUAAUGCAUGCAACCUGCUACUCAAAUGAACGUUUUAGUUCAUUCCAAACGUAUAUACUACCGCUUCAAUAUGAAUUAAAUUUGUAUUCGUUUCUCUAUUUGAACAAUAUCUAAAAUAAUGACUGUUCUGAACUCAAACCAUUUUAAUUCAUUUAUCUAUUUUAAUAAGAUCUACAAUCAUCAUUAUUGUCAAGUUAAACCCUCAUUUGUGUAUUAUCUUCACAGCACACCACAUGAUUACUGUCGAGUUAGAUAUGAACUAUGUGUACUAUAUGAACUCGAACUCGAUUUUUUGAAUCCACUUUAUGUUGAUUUCAAAUCACAGUACAUUUCAAGCUCUAGCUACAUCUUCAUAAUCAAAACCAUGUCUCAUAUGUAUAAUGUGUUUAUCACAUAAUGUAUGGUGCCCUGCCCUCUACGCCCACAAGUAUUUAGAUGUGAGUUGCAAACGCCACACAUUACCACAAAUUCAAAUAAAAUGUGAGAUUGUUCGAUAUAUAGUAUUGUUUAGAUUGUUCGAUAUUUAGUUGUAAGCUGCAAACGCCACACAUUAUCACAAAUUCAAAUAAAAUGUGAGAUGGUUCUAUGUAUAGUAUGGUUUAGAUUAUUUGACAUUUAGCUGUGAGUUGCAAACGCCAUGCAUUAUCACAUUAUGGUAUAACAUGAGCAAAACCACAACACGCGUAUCACCGCUAUAUUCAUGCAUGCAUGUUUUUAUAACACUAUGAUCUCCUAUGAAUUCACUUUCAUAUCAAAUUAUGAUCUUUGUUAGUCUCUUACACCCACACAAUCCUCCAACCUUUGUAGCUAGCACUAACUUUCUCUUGCGCAUGCACACGCCCUCCUUGCCCUACCCCUCCCUCAGCAUUCUAUCCAUCGUGCACAUUCAUUUUUUUUUUCUUUAGGUCGUUCUCCCACAGUCUGCGCAACUCCUUUCCGACACACACCAAUCGAUAAACCGCUCCAGCGAUGUCUGCCUACAACAUACGCACACACCUUCCAUCUCCUCCUUUCUAUGUCCAUGCCUCGUGUCUCUCAUACGGUCCCACACACGUGUAAACUAUCGCCCCUCUUUUCGUCAAUCUGACAAUCGCACACUCCUCCCCUAUCUAGCUAGUAGCUCGGCCUCUCGCACCACCUCCUAGCUCCAUUCUCUCUGUCUACCCGUCUCGCUGGGCCUUAUUUGCCUCUAACAAAUGGAUGUACACCGACCGGUCGCCCGCUAUAUAUUUAGCUAGCUAGGUCCUUAUAACUCUUUUUUCCCCAUGCGUCGAUCGAUCUACCUCAUUAGUUAUGUCUCUCCCUUCCUCCGACAAACAACAAUUGAUCUAUCGAUCUAGUUAGGUUUGCUUACCAAACACAUGGUUCCCCUUCAUCAUCCAUGCAUGUGUCCUGGCACAUCUAUCACGCACUGGCACACAAAGGAACACAUCCCCGUUCUUAUUGAUAAUAUUGCAGUUCUACCCUUAGUUUGUCUAGUAGGCCUCUCCCACCAUCUUCGAGAAGCAACUCCAUCACCCAUCCAUCACUCUACCCCUCUCCCUCCCUCUCUCUCUCUCUCCUCUCUAUCUCUCUCUCUCCCUCUCUCUCUCUCAUUGUCCCAACCUAUUUCCCGUCCUUCAGUUAUGUAUGGAUGUCGACCGAUCUCCCUCAAGACAUAGCUGGGUCUCUCCUUCUCAACACAUAUACAAGUCGUUCUACCUCUCUAUUUAGGCCUCUGCCUCCCCCCAACACAGACACACACACACACCGAUACAUCGAGCCCUCUAGUCAUGUCUCCCUGCCACGCACAUACUUGCCCUGUGCCCUCUAAUGUUCCGGUAGGUCAGUCGCCCUAUAUCUUUGACUUGCACACACACAAUUUUGAUGGCUCUCUUCAUCGAUCUCGCACCCACCCACUUGAUCCUCUCUUCGACUCUAUCAAUAUCUAUGACCCCUCCCUCUCUUUUGUGGAUCGCCCCCUCUAUAUGUGAUAGAGAUAGGCCUCCAUUUCACACACAUUGCAUGUGUCGAAUUUUUGUUUGAGAUGUCAUCGACACAUAUUCCCACAAAUACAUUCACGAAAUCACCCCCAACAAAAAACACUCACAAACGCACACGCCAUCUGCCUAGGUUUGUAUCUUUCUCACACACACCCACAUAGGUGGGGGACGUGCACGAAGAGAAGAGGUGCACGCAUGGCGCACGUAUACACGGUGUAGCUCAUUUCUGUACGAAAAGGCAGCACACGUGGUCAUUUGACAUGUGUACUGGUUUUCCACUUGAUGGAGGAUCGUCUACCACGGGUGAACAAACAAAUUGCGACUUGAUGCGUUAUUUUAAAAAGGAGGCAAACCAUGUGGGUCCUACCUUAGAGGCAAGGCUCUAUACACUCGAGAUCCUCUAUACGUAUUACUUUUGAUGUGUCCCGUCAACUCACAGAACGAGGAGAAGCUUGCUUAGUAUGCUGUCUCCCCACCCAUGGGCGCUGUGGCUCGUAGGAUGAGUUGAAGCUUGCUUACUAUGCCUUACGCCUGCUCCCUCGCCCACGCGCGCGGUGGCUCACAGGACGAGGAGAAAAUUUUACUACCCCCUUCGUUUACUCCUCAUCCCUACCUUGGUUAGAGAGAUUAUCAUAUUGUUUGGAAUAUAUGUACUUUAGUAGAUUUCAAUAUGAACUACUCCACUAGUACAUACUCCAAACACUGACGUAUAUAGACGUAUUUUAGAGUGUAGUUCACUCAUUUUGCUCCGUAUGUAGUCCAUAUUGAAAUGUACAUAGUAGUAAUAGUAUGCACUCUCCCUCGCCCCUCGACCCUCACCCACGUGGUGAAGGCGCAACAAUUCAUUAGGUAUCAUAUAGCUAGAAUGAUAUAUAUUGCAGUACCAUUAUUUCUCGACUUCCCGAAGAGGCGAAGAGCCAAUCGCAAGGUUAAUAAUUUGGAGAUGCCAAGCGCAAGGUUUAUAGGAGAACGAGUAGUAGUAGUACUAGUAGUACGUACCAGUGGUACGUACUAUAUGAGGAAGAAGGAAACAAGCUGUAUAUUUUGCAUGACAGUCUCUUCUUACAAGACGCGCUAGACAUAGUGGACCUCAAUGUUGCAAUGGGACUACUCCCUAUCAUAGAUGGCACGAUUCAGAGUGGUGGGUAACGGGCAUAAUUCGGAGCUGCUUAGUCUUAAACCCCAUGAAGAAGUCCCAUCGAAAGGAAUAGCCAUCCUCUACACGUGCUCCUAUGUAAAAUGAGUAAAUGAGACAAAAAUAGAAAGACAUAGCAAAAAAAAUCACCAGCCUUAGAUCCAGCCCUAUUGUAUCAUUGAAUGAUAUUUAGGUCGCGAUUGACAUGGCUAUAUUAUUAACCAUGCUACGGAGGUAGAAUCGGAUUUUUAUUUAUUCGCGGAGCUAGCAGCGGAUGGAUAUUCAACGAGGAGUGAAAUGAUGGCUGCUUCCUUGGUCAAACAUAGAGAAAGGCGGGCCUCGUGAUUUCACGGCUUAUUAGUCAGUAUUACUGCCUAUACUCUUUGCCCAUCUAUAAUAACCGCGUGGUAGUACAGUAGUGGGCUAUACUUUUAAUAACCAUGCUCGAAGAGAAGAGGUGCACGCACUCACACACGUAGUGUACUAGUAGCACUCUUUGCGUCUUUUGCGUCUUCCUAGACAACACACGUGACACGGUGGAGCUCAUUUCUAUAAGAUGAUGCAGCCCACAUGAUAAUUUGACCCGUCUAGUAGUAGUUACUCACUUAUAAAUAAUGGAGGGUCGGGAACCACGCACGAACGAUGCCGCGUCAUUUAUAAAUAAAGUUUUUUUUCUUCAGUGGCACGUACGCAAUAUAAAUAGGUUCAUAUGGAGAGAAAAGGAAACCGCUCCACUAUACACAUAGCCAGGAUGAGCCUACAUGGUUGCUUGCUGGGGUUGCUCUCUUCACACACUCUCGCACAAAACGACUGUGGCCACAUCUCUAACAUCUGGGUGGAUCAUGUCCACCGGGGGAAGGGGUGGAUGCUUAGUGUAGAUGCGGUCGCCGUCGCUGACGGUGAAAACCUACUGUCGGCAUGUCCUGAUCAGGGGUCCACAUCGUUCUCUCUCACAAAGCCGGUGAGGUUGCCUUCGUCCCUUGCUCACCGCCGCGACGCGGGCAGUUGCCACCUCCCGCCUCCCUCCUCUAGGUUGAGCUAUGUCCUGAUAUCCCUUAGGUACAACUUCCUUUACAACCGACUUGCACCACUGCUCCAGCUUCCCACAUCACUCCGUGUGGAUAUUUCUCUACUUCUUUACCCCGCACAUACCUCUACUGGCUUCUACGUAUUGCAUUUGUGAUGAGUUUAUGUCUCAUCAACUAGUCCCAGUAAUCUUAUUCUAAUCACGCUUCUUCAAUUUCAUUGCCACAGGGAUACUCAUCUCGAUUUUGGUGAAACUUCACAAAAUGAUCCAAUGGUCAAAGGGCUGCAAACUUCAUUUCUUCGGAAGCUCCAACGUUGCCAGCAAAUUAAAGCCUGAUUACGGUAUACGGUUGCUGGGCUAGGGACUGCAUGGAUUGUUUUUUUCUUUUGCUAUCUCUAUUCCAAAAUAAGUGUCAACUUUAGUAGUAGUAAAACUUGGUACUAAAGUUUGUAUAAAGUUGAGACACUUAUUUUGGAACGGAGGGAGUACAUAUUGGCUAUGAUCUGUCAAUCAUUGAGAUGCAAUAGCACGCAUGUUAGUCUCCUUUGUAUUUGAUGAAUGAUGCAACGGGCAACCUUGGACGCAAGAUACAUGAAACAGAAGCUGGAAGCUUCAUAGGAUUAUACAAAUUUAUCUCGCUGAGAAAUUACAGUACGUACUAUACCAGUACUAUGUAAAGAGUCAGGUGUCGCACAGUGUCCAGAAAAUAUGGUGACAGCGUGAGGUGGGCCAUGUAAUCACUGAGCCUGCGCCUUUUCAUUGCUUUCACACUCCUCCACUGUAGGAAUGGAUAAAAUUGUAAUCUAGUAGUACCUCCUUUCGUCGAAAGCAUGGGACAUCCAGCAGUCAUACCACCUCAGUAAUAAUGACCAAUGAGCCGUCAAAUCACAUAGACCCAGCAGUAAGUUGGACGGAUGAAGCAACCAUCACUCUUGAAUUCGCUUCUCCCUUCAACACAGGCGCUAGUGAGAGGUCGCGCCCGCUCUACCCGGGCAUGAAUGCGGCACCGAUUCUUUGGAGCGGCGCUGACCGUUUCGGGCGAUGGAGGGGCUUUGGGUGGGUCAGGCUGGUCAGGAGCGGGCGUGGCUGAUAUGUCCAUUUUGCAUCAUGCUUUUAUAUUGAUAUUUAUUGCAUUAUGGGCUGUUAUUACAUAUUAUGUCACAAUACUUAUGCCUAUUCUCUCUUAUUUUACAUGGUUUACAUAAAGAGGGAGAAUGCCGGCAGCUAGGAUUCUGGGCUGGAAAAGGAGCAAAUAUUAGAGACCUAUUAUGCACAGCUCCAAAUGUCCUGAAACUUCAAGAAAGUUAUUUCUAGAAUAUAUAAAAAAUAUUGAGCGCAAGUGUUGGCAUUCUGGGAAUGGGGGUCCCCAGACUUGUCUGCCUGUGGCCCGCGGCGUGGCUAAGCCAGCAGGCCAUACGGCCCAUCUUCAUCAACAAGGCAUCCAAGACCCUCGCGAGGGGCCAAGCCUUGCGAGGCGGACGACACAAGGCCUCCUCUGGAGUGGCCUAGUCGGGCAUGCUCACGAGGGGCGGAGAUAACAAGGCGAGGCAAACCUCACGAGGCUCUCGUCACGUGAGCCAUGACGAUUGACACCAGGCGGGCGCCAGCGCAUGCAACGUCCUUGUUUGCUCUUUGGUGCUAAGGAGCCAGUGCAGGCGAGGAGUACCGAGGCAUCAGGCAAAGGUUGCGAUAUCGGUGCAACAAGACCAAGACUAGAAGGACAGCAAGACGGAGGUCAUUGUGGAGCCCAAGACGGCAUUACCACCAGAGCCUUUCGUAGGCGGAGACCACCUUUGUCAGUAUAGCUUGUACUAGCUGCCCCCCUUCAAAAUUGCCCGCCGUUGUUGGCUCCCUUCCCUCUCAAUAUUUGGGAAGAGGACCAGGGCCUCUAUAAAUAGCACUAGCCACCACCAUAGGCAAGAGAGAGCCUGAAGUUCAUCCCCCCACACACAAGUUAGCCAAGCACGAGAACACCUCACUCUCAGGAGGCUGUUCUUCCCCUUGUAUUGUUCAUCAUCAGCCCAAGAGGCAAUCCACCACCACCACACUGGAGUAGGGUAUUACACCACAACGGCGGCCCGAACCAGUAUAAAUCUUGUGUCUUUCUGUGUUGCAAGUUCGUCGAGUUCGUCCGCGAGAUCUUAGCGAGCUAGGGCCUAGAUCGGUGGGAGGAAAAGACUUCGCGCGCACCCCAGUAUUCCAACCUUAAGGGUUUGCCGGAAUCCCACAUCCGACAUUUGGCACGCCAGGUAGGGGUGCGCCGUAGCUUCCCUUCCAUCAGUUCAUCGCUCUGUCGCUCCAUCGUCUCCAUGGCGGACGCUCGACGUGCUCGAGCUGAGCGUCGGGCUGCCCUCACUACCCGCGUUGCUCAAACGGCCCCCAUCGGUGGGCCACCAUGUUGUUCUCCGUCUCCCGCCACCAACACUGCCACCGGCCCGGUGGGGAAUGAGCAGCAAGCCUCUUUGCUGCAUCCUUCGGUACGGCAGGACGGCCGCAUCGCCACUCCAUCGCUGACCCCGACCGGUUCUUCACCCCAUGCACACCACGCUCCCAUGGAGGCGCGGGCCGCACUCCUUGCCACAAACGAACUCCUGCGCUACCGCCCAGUCGACGACCUCUAUGAGGAGUGGCUUGACCGUGUCGCCGAGCUCGUCCGGGCCGCAGGGGGCUCCCCGGUGCUAUCCGUCUCUCUGCCUCACCCUCAGCCGGACUCGGGCGAUGAUGCUUGGGGCGCGCCUCCACCACCCCAGCCAAAAGAAGGCGCCUUGGCAGAAAGGCGUGCGGCCCCGCGGUGUGAUCCGCCACGUCCGGUGCCCACGCGCGAAGAGAGAAGAUGCCAAGAAAUCCUCGGUCGCGAGGAGCUGCACCCGCGCUUCCCGCGCUGCCUUGUCAAGACCGCGUGCCGCCCGUGGCGGCGCCGCACGGACCUCGUCAAGACCAACCUCCACCUCUGUUGGGGAUAUUACCACCGGGCAUAAACCGGCUAGGAGAGGCCGGAUUAUCCCCAUGAUGGUUGCUUUAUUCAAAAGCCCAUGAAGACGUGAGGAUGGUGGCGCUUUAUGAAGGCCCAAGGCCCAAAGGUGGGUUAAGGCCUGUAGAUGUAAACCGACUUUCUCAUGUAACUUGCAUUGUAAGAUAGGAAGGAUAGAGACCGAGUUGGAUACGUUAACAAUCCAGCCUCGGGACUUUGUAAACUGACGAGCGUCAACCUAUGUAUAUAAAGGGACGACCCGACGUCGGUUUAGGGACAACUGACAACAAAAACUCGAGAGCCAGGUAAAGCGGAUUUGCUCCCUGGUCAUCGAAACCCCAACAAUUCCAUCACAACUAGACGUAGGCUUUUACCUUCAUCGUAAGGGGCCGAACUAGUAUGAAACUCUCGUGUCCCUUGUCCGGUUUAACCCCUUUAAGCUAACCCAGAGAGAUGGCUCCAUGACUAAGUCCUUUCAUGAGGACAUUUGCCAUGACAAAACCACGACAGCUGGUGCCCACCGUGGGGCUAGAAGGAGGGCUCGUGGGCUGGAGUCAUAUUAACUUCCCCAUGAGGUGACAAGUUUUGUUAUGUUCUUCGCUUAAUGUUCCCUUGUACUAACAAUGCAGCUGAAUAUGAGGCCUUGCUCCAUGGCCUUCGGAUGGCUAAAGAGAUGAAUUUAAGCCGAGUUAAGCGCUUUGGUGACUCGGACCUGGUGGCUCAGCAGGUAUCUAGCACUUGGGAUUCUAAGGAUCCACUCAUGGCUGCAUAUCGAUGAGAGGUGGACAUAGUGGCUGGUCAUUUCAAGGUUUAUCAAGUUGACCAUAUAGACCGGCGAAAGAAUGAAGCGGCGGACACUUUAAGUCGUCUAGGCUCUCUGCAUAAACCAGUGCCACCUAAUGUCUUCCUCGACGUACUUCAUAAUCCGCCGGUCAAGAUACCCACAGAGGAGGAGUUGGCUAUUCCUGACCCGGAGGCCCAGUUAGUGGCGGCUUUGCAUGUUAUACCGGAUUGGACAGUCCCGUACCUGGCUUACAUGAACCGAGACAAGUUACCAGAUGAUGAAACCUUGGCCCGGCAGAUAAUCCGGCGAUCCAAGUCAAUGACCAUUAUCAAUGGGGAGCUACAUCAUUAUAGCGUCACAGGAGCAAUUCAGCGUUGUGUGUCUCCUCAAGAGAUUUGUGAGAUUUUGCGAGAAAUCCACAAAGGAGAUUGUGGUCACCAUGCCGGUUCAAAAUCCUUGGUGGCUAAGGCUUUUCGUCACGGCUUCUAUUGGUUGACAGCUCAUGCUGAAUGCCGAGGAUUUGGUAAAAAGGUGUGACGAUUGUCAGAAAUUUGCACGCCGCGCUCAUGUUCCGGCGCAAGAGUUGAGAAUGAUUCCAAUCACUUGGCCGUUUGCAACUUGGGGGCUAGAUAUGGUUGGACCCUUUAAGAGGUCCAAGGACAAAAAGACCCACCUGUUGGUGGCAGUUGAUAAGUUUUUCAAAUGGGUAGAAGCAGAGCCGGUUAGUAAGUGUGAUGCAGCCACGGUGGUCCAAUUCAUCAAAAAGGUGAUAUUCCGGUUUGGUUUUCCACACAGCAUUAUAACUGAUGACGGUACUAAUCUGUCCAAGGGUGCUAUGGAGGAAUUUUGUCAACGUGAGCACAUCCGGCUUGAUGUAGCAUCAGUAGCUCACCCCCCGUCUAAUGGUCAAGCAGAGCGGGCAAAUCAAGAAAUUUUGAGAGGUAUUAAACCCCGGCUUAUGGUUCCUUUAAAGAGGACGCCGGGUUGUUGGGUGGAGGAGUUACCUUCUGUAUUAUGGAGUAUCAACACCACACCAAACAGAUCUACGGGUUACACACCUUUCUUCAUGGUUUACGGAGCAUAGGCGGUUCUCCCUAGUGGCAUCCGUCAUGACUCGCCCCGUGUGGCGACUUACGUUGAAGCUGAAAAUGAGAAGGCACGUCAGGACUCACUGGACCUGUUAGAUGAGACGCGUGAUCUCGCAGCGGCGUGGUCGGCAAUUUAUCAACAAGAUCUCCGACGUUAUCACAGCCGCCGGGUUAAGACCAAAACUUUUCAAGAGGGCGAUCUGGUGCUCCGGCUCAUCCAGGAUCAGACUGAUAUGCACAAAUUAUCCCCACCUUGGGAAGGACCUUUUGUGGUCAGAAAAAACCUGCAGAAUGGGUCAUACUACCUUAUCGAUGUUCGAGAGCACAAAGACUCAUGCAAAUCAGAGGAGGAGACCCAGCAGCCAUGGAAUAUAGCUCUUCUUCGGCCUUACUAUACUUGAGCCACAUGCUCUUCUUAUGUACAUACUUAUAACAAUGUAUAUAUUAUAUAAUAAACUGGAGCCUCAGCUAAAGCGGGGUCUCUGUUCUUUUUUACAUCAUGUGUGGUUACAUGGGGGCUUCUACUUACAAAGCGGAGUUCUAUUAACCCGACCUAUAAAGCCACAUAGAUAUAAAGGAAAUCACUAGGGGGCUUGGUCGUAUUCCAACCAUAGCUACGCCUCUUGAUCGUCUUAAGACCAAAAAGGGAAAUCACUAGGGGGCUUGGUUGUAUUUACACCAUAGCUACACCUCUUGAUAGGCUUAAAGCCAAAAGGAAAUUAUGUGGAACCAAAGAGAGUCUGUUGCAUCAAGCACAACUCAAACGUAGGUAACCACUGAGCAUAGCUCAAAUAUUACUUGGGGGCUCCUUACUUCUCAAAGAACAACGAGCUUGCACCCUUGUGAUAGGCUAUCAAGCCAGGCUUGGAAGCUAGGUGUUAUCCUGCCUUUUUAAGUAAGCCACUCCGUCCAGGUAAACCUGGUAUGACCCAUCGAAUGUUUGACAAGUCAAUCUCAUACACCCUGAACUUGUCAAAGUUAAAAUGAUGAUUGGUUAAAGAUUGAGGUCCAUCUUAAAAGUCUUUGAAAAAUGGUUUAACUCAGCGGCCUGGCAGCCCAUUAAAAGCCUCGAUUUAGGGCCUGGCAGCCCAUGAAAAGCCUUGCAUAUUUCUUUUGUAUUUUGCUGUCUAAAACAUCUUCUGAUAAGGGAUUUAUGAAUAUUUUUUGAUAAACAUGUUUUAUUACAACCCGGCCUGGCUUUCAACACUAAGUUGUCAGUACAUGGUCAGUUUUAAUCCGGCAAUAAUAUUGCUCCGGUCUAGUUUGACUACAGGUCACCACAAUUAUAUGCAUAAACCAGUGUUUACCAUCACCCAGAAAGAUUUCGGUAUGAACCGACAAGGAUGCAAGGAGUCAUCAACACUCCAGAUUGGUGUUAUCACCUUUUGUUAUAACAACAGUUGGUAAGCCAAACGAGAUAUACCACAGGUAACAUCUAUUUUAUAUCUACAUAUUACAACCUUAGUUCAGCAUCCAGGUUAUAUAUAUGUUUGGGCACCAUGACCCGUCCAACGGUAAACCGCUAGGACACUUUCAAUUUUUUUGCAGGAAUAAGCUAACUAAAGCCACUGUGGAUUAUGCAUAUAAUAGAUCCCAAAAACAUGUCGAGUUAUCAAUGUCAAGCACACCAAGUAUGCUCGAUGGCAUAAGCAUAUAAGUAUUUGAACUAGCCUAUUACAAGGCGCUUUAGUGCCCACACAGGAUAAUUGUUUCGACAAGUUUGGCAAAUGAUUAAACCGGCUUCCGGAUUACGAUUCUUCAUCCGGACGACUUGAAGAUUGAGGGUCAUCUUGAGCGGGUGCAUUCUCCUCAUCCCUACCCAGUCGCUGAAAAUCAAUCCUUGACCAAUCGAUUCCAGUUAAGGCUUGAAAAACGGCUUCUUCAUGAAUAAGGUUGGAAGGGUCAAUGUCAGGAGCGUAAGUGUGCUUACGGAUUGGUGGAACAAGAUCUUCUACAUUAUGAAUCGGCGCGGGAUGUCUUUUCCCCUCAACAUCGUAAACCUGUUGAUAAUGAGAUAGAUCUGUGUUAUCUGCCAAUUUGCUUGCUAUAGGCCGCAUUUCCUUUGUUGGCCUUCGGAGAUCAUCGUUGUUGAAUUCUGUGCCAUCUUCCUUCAUGUUGGGGUAGCCUUGGACGAUAUCUGCCGGUUCAAGAUCUGGAAUCCACGCCUUGGCUCGGAUUAGCAUGGUCAGCGCACCUGACCUUGCGGCUGAUCUCUUCAGUUCAUCCAGCCGGGCAGGCAGCAUGGCCAGCUUUUUUGAUGGUCUCUUUUGUCAGCGCUGGAGGAGGUUUGUUAUAAGCUGAAGUAUAAAUGGCUCGCUGGGAUCCAGAAUGCAGUUGUUCUAUCAAAGUAUAGGCCGCUUUAAGCUUCAUCCGCAUGUCGGAGCCCAGAUGAGUAAUGCGUGUCCAUGUCAUGGUAAAGCAUCAGUAAACCAGCCUUUAAUAUGAUAUUAUGGAUUGGAAAAACUUCAUAUGAGGAAACUCACCAAAUACAACAGAGGUCAUGGCAUUAAUCUGUCGCUUUAAGCCGGUCAGUUCUUCAACCACCGGCUUUAGGGCUGCUUCUGCGUCUUCGGCCUUCUUUGUAAAAUCGGCCUGCUCGGCAUCCCAGUCUGCACGUUCCUUCUUAAAAUUUUCUUUCAGCUUUUCCGUGGCUGCUAAGGCUUUAGUCAGUUCCUCCUUGGCUUUGGAAGCUUCCACUUGCUGAGACUUGAUGUUGUCUUGAAGAUCAGCGGUUUGGGAGUCCUUUUUGCUCAGCUCAGCCUGUAAAGGAAUGGCAUAUCAUUAGUGGGAAGUAUAUAUUUGAAGUACCAAGAACAUAACAAGUUAUGCACUUUGUACUUGGGGGCUAAUGCCUAUUUGCUAUGUUAUCAGAAAUUUUUGCAAAGUCCCAAAUACAAUGCAAACAUUAUCUUUGGCACUUGGGGGCUAAUGUACAUCUAUUCAAAGUUGAAGCAUUGAUUAAAGACCCGGCUUACCUUGGAAAGAUAAAUCGGCCCUUGGGGGCUACACAGAUGAAAACUACAAGAAUACAAUGAUAAAGUACUAGUUUAUUUCAAAGGAUCACCUGACAUAUGGAGGAUAAGCAUGCAAGGGUUGAGAUAUUACAAAGUCCCAAUUUAUGAUUGCUAUCAUAAACCGACCCUUGGGGGCUACUAGAGUUGGUAUUUGCAAUUGGAGUUAAGAAAGGAAAAGUUAUGUCAUUACCUCAUGGAGCUCCUUCAUCAGAUUCACCAAAUCGGCUUCAUAAUCCCGGUUUGUGUGCAGACGGUUUAGAAAGCCAUAGUGGAGUUCCUGAGCAGUGAAGUGGGCAUAGCUUGAUAAAUUGGUGCUCCACUUGCCUUUCUCCAUGGCAGCACAUUCUUCUUUGGCACUAUGUUUCACCAAUACAACAGGUUGGCCAAGAGAGGUGUGGCCAAUACCGGUACUGAUAACAUCAUCUUCCUUAUUUCCAACAGCCUUUUAUAGAGUUGAUGGAGUAUCAGUCGUCUUCACUGGACUAGAAGAUCCGUCAUCAGCCCGGAUUGGACUGGCCGGUUUAUCAUCUCACACAGCGGUAUCAACUUCUGUUUGCUCAUUCAAAUCAUGAUCCAGAGGGGGUGGUUCAUGAACAACAGUGUCUACAUGAGGACCUUCUGGUUCAGUGGUUUGCUCCGGUUCAACAACCAAUUCUUCAGACGGUUUAUUCACCCGAGUUUUCUUGCUGGGUCUAGCCUUGGCUCUGAAAAGGAUAAGAUGCAAGGAUGAAAAUAGCAUGCAAAUACAAAGCCUCAACAAAUUCAGUUAAAACUUACCCAACAAUUCUUAAGGGGAGGGAGUUGUCUUGCUGUUGACUCACCAGAGGAUGAAGGGUGUCACCUGAUAAUUCGAAUCGGAAAGAUUAAGAGGUUGUCGGUAAUAGCCGGCCUUAGGAUAAGAAGUGUCAGAAGUGGGUGAGACCUCAGUUCGGCAUUUCCGGACCGGGGUAUUCAGUAAACUGGUCAAAGUGACCAUUUGACCUCUGUGCCAGGUUGUGCGGCGAGCCUCGUGCUACUGCUUCUUCAAAAUAAAUGUUGGAUCCAAGUGAGCAAGAGGGUGAGAAAAUCUUACUUUCCGGACUGCUUGACGGAUUUUUUGUGUUGGCAGAGAGUCUGAACCGGAGGAAAGGAUAAUUACCUCUGCAUCGCCAGCUUGGCUGCCCUUAACGUCCUCCUGAUAAAUAUCAUUGCCAAUGAGAUGCAUGAAAAGUGAACCAAGUUCUACCUCUACUUCCGGUUCAUCUAGGUCGUCAUCAAGCUCUAAACUGAUGGGUUUAGGUGCCUUCCUCUUUGUGGUUUUCUUCACGGCUUUUGUUUUAAGAUGGGAAGACUUCACCGCUUUCUCUUGAGGUUUCUUUUUCCAGAACGGAUCAUCACCCUGUUUAAAGAUGGGCAGAGGGAAUUCAGAGAUUGCACAAUCUAAAAAUAUCAGGUGUAAAGCAGAAGCACAGACAAUACUUACAGCGGGCGGUUUGUUUUGCGUAUAAAAGGGUCUCAACCCGGUCUUGCUACAUACAGCUUCUGGUUCGUUCAACAUUUUCUUCAUAGACUCAGUGACUUCUUCAUCUGUUAGCUGAAUAUUGAUAUGCCGUUGAGAGUCUUGUACGUCAUCGGUAUACUCACACAUUAAGACGGAGCGGCGACUUAAUGGCAAAAUGCUUCGGGAUAUCCAGCAAAGGACGAAGUCCAUGCCUGUUAAACCGUUGGCCAGGAAGACUCUCAGCUUGGCGAGUUGAGGUGCGUAUGAGGCCCGUUCCUGGGCACUUAGCCAUUGCAGAAGCGGAUGAGUAUUAGCAAGCCGGUGAGAAUGAUAACCCAACAGAGGGUUUUCAUCUUGAGGAGAGGUGUCUCUGCAAUAGAACCAAGUUUGAUUCCACUCUUUUGGGUGACUGUGAAGUUUGGCAUGAGGAAACUCAACCUCUUUCCUUUUCUGAAUUGAGAUGCCGCCAAAUUCCGUAUUGGGUCCGUCUACAAACUCAGUGCAACGGUUUAAAUGGAAGAAAUCCCGGAACAGCUCAACAGUUGGUUCCUCUUGAAGGUACGCUUCACAAAAGACUUGAAAGUUGCAUAUAUUGGAUACCGAGCUGGGUCCAAUAUCUUGAGGAUGGAGCUGAAAGCUAGCAAGUACAUCUGAAAAAAACUUUGAUCCGGGCGGUUUCAAGCCACGGCCUCUAUGAUCAACAAGCACCACCACUUCAUUCUGUUUGGGGGUAGGAGGGUUUUCCGGCAUAGGAACUCGCCACCAGAUUUCAUUCUUCUUUGGUAAGGUGCCGAUCUUAACCAUUCCGUUUAGUUGCUCCUCAGUAACCCGGGAAGGGACCCAGUUGCAGGAAUAAAACUGCUUGGCCAUUGCAAGUGAAAAUCUGGGAAGAAAAUAAUGUCGUUUUAUGAUUCAUUCAUGGCGAUGCAUAAGGUACAAUAGGGAAAGGGAAUCCAAGUAUGUGAAAUUGGUAAACCGGAGGCUAAUGCAAUUAUGAAUGAUAAAGCGAUAAGCAUAAUAAGAGGUAUACGCAUAUUAUUAAAACGGAGUAUGACAACGGAGAUAAAGGGAUUGGCGGUUUACAAGGGGACUAAUGGUAUAUGAUAGAUUACUUUCUACAAUGAUAAACCGCCUAUGCGGAUAAGGAAGAUACAGAUCUAAGCAAGAAUGAGUAAGUAAGGUAAAACAGGUUUCACAAGAUUGCAUUGAAAUUUUGGAUCUACUGUAAGUCAGGAAAAGGAAAAAUAUUGAGACUUAAAAAGGUUUGGUACCGAAGCAGUUCACAAAAGGUCCAGAUCAAGUUAUUAGGUAUUUAAGGUUUGGUUUAAAUGGCCAAGACAAGGAGUACCAUAGCUACUGUGCGGAAAAUGUCAAGAUCGAGCUCUGUUAUCUAUGGGCUGACGAAGAACACGAGAAGAGUGACAUGAACCCGUAUGAACCCUAAUGGAUCUAUAGAGGAAAGAAGGAAAGGCUUACAGCAGCUCUUGAGGUAGGGGAGGUGCACCGCAUCUUUCUGAUGCAACCAGGUCGAUGCAGCGGCCAAUGGAGAUGCAGAGGCGAAGCUCGACGACGACGGUGGCGCUCCGGUGCAAGGGCUUCCCGAGGAGAAAGAAGAAGCGAGGAGGCGAAGGGGGAAAAGAAAAUGACCGUUGGCCCUAUUUAUAAGGUAAAUGGAGAGGUGACAGGCGCGAGAAUCAAGGAGCCCGAAAAUUGGAUAUAUAACAGAGCGGUCGCCUCGAUUGUCGGAGGCUCAUUAACUGAAGGUGAGAUGUAUAAUUUUUAAAUAACAAGUGACGUCAUGGCGAUUUAUCAUGAUCCUAGAGGAUGACGUCAUGGUGGUUUACAAGAUCAAGGUGAAGAUGCAAAGGAGGAAUUUUUCUAAGUGUUGAAGAUUGACAUGAACAAGUUCAAAUCAAUCUGAGGCCUAAUGUUGGGGAUAUUACCACCGGGAGUAAACUGGCUAGGAGAGCCGGAUUAUACCCAUGAUGGUUUCUUUAUUCAAAAACCCAUGAAGACGUGAGGAUGGUGGCGCUUUAUGAAGGCCCAAGGCCCAAAGGCAGGUUAAGGCCUGUAGAUGUAAACCGACUUUCUCAUCUAACUUGCAUUGUAAGAUAGGAAGGACAGAGACCGAGUUGGAUACGUUAACAAUCCGGUGUCGGGACUCUGUAAACCGACGGGUGUCGACCUAUGUAUAUAAAGGGCCGACCCGACGGCGGUUUAGGGACAACUGACAACAACAACUCGAGAGCUAGGUAAAGCGGAUUCGCUCCCUGGUCAUCGAAACCCCAGCAAUUCCAUCACAACUAGAUGUAGGCUUUUACCUUCAUCGUAAGGGGCCGAACUAGUAUAAAACGCUCGUGUCCCUUGUCUGGCUUAACCCCUUUAAGCUAACCCGUAACGAUGGAUCCACAACUAAGUCCUUUCACAAGGACAUCUGCCGUGACAAAACCAUGACAACCUCUGAAGUGGGCCCCAAUAACUACGGCCAGCUGCCGCGCCUUCACCCCCGAGCUGCGUAGCGUCGCCUGGCCAGGCAAGUUCAAGCCAGAUCUGCCUCCUCGCUACGACGGCACCGCCGACCCCAUGGAGUUCUUGCAGCUCUAUGAGCUGAGUAUCGAAGCAGCCAACGGCGACGAGAAAGUCAUGGAAAACUGGUUUCCCGUGGCUCGCAAGGACGGGGCCCGCUCCUGGCUCCUGAACCUGUAGCAUGGCUCGAUAUCCUCCUGGGACGAGAUGCGCGACCGCUUCGUCACCAACUUCCAGGGCACUCGCGACUGCCCGCCUGCUGUGGGCAACCUGCGCCGCAUCAAGCAACAGCCAGGGGAGACCCUUCAGAAGUACAUUCAGCGCUUCAACAACACCCGCCUCAAGAUCCCCAAGGUCACGGAUGAGGCCAUCAUCUCCGCGUUCUCCGACAGCGUCCGUGACGUCAAGAUGAAGGAAGAGCUUGCUAUCCACGAGGAGCUCUGCACAUCUCAGGAACUAUUCAACCUGGCAAUCAAGUGCGCAAGAGCUAAGGAGGGGCGGCUGUCUCUCCUUGAGUUGCCAGCCGCGGGCAUAGAAGAGAAGAAAGCCAAGGCCAAGGACGUGAAGCGCAAGGAAGCAGUGGUGCUAGCAGCGGAGCCUGACACCAAACGGGGUAGAGAUCAGCCCGAGUCAUCCAAGAACAGCCGACCGUUCUGCGCCUUCCACAAACUGAACACCCACAACACUAGCGACUGCCAAGAGCUCAGAGCCAUACGAGAAGGACACUACGGUCGAUGCCCCGACCGCAGUGACCGGGGUACAACCAUGGAGGAGGACGCUAGGACGACCAUCGCCCGUGCCAGAAAUGGCGCGACAGGCCUCGUGAGGACCGCUGGCAAGACCAUCCUCGCGAGGGGGCCUGGAGGGACCAACCUCGUGAGGUUCGCCCCCAAAGCAAUGCCGGUCUUCCCCCACUGCCGCCACCAAGAAGGAACGACGAUCAUCAUCAGGACGAGGGGGUUGGGGGCUUCCAGGAGCCGCGUGCAAUCGCCUGCAUCUUGGGCGGCGCCCAGGCCCCAGCCUCUCAGCGCAUCUUCAAACGGUUCGCUCGCAAGGUGAACGCGGUGCUCCCCAAUCUUGAGGCCGUGCGCCCGCUCAAGUGGUCCCAGUGCGCCAUCACUUUCGACUCGGCAGAUCAGCUCAAGUGCGCGGCCAUCGCCGGCGUCCUCCCGAUGUUGUGUUCCCUAGUCAUCAACAGUGUGCAGGUUACCAAGACCCUCAUCGACGGUGGUGCAGGGCUCAACGUCCUGUCUGUCGACACAUUCGACAACCUCCAAGUGCCAUAUGAGCAGCUCCAGCCUACCAAACCUUUCUUAGGAGUGACCGACGGCUACACCAUACUGAUAGGGCAGGUCUGCCUACCUGUCACCUUCGGCACGCGCGACAACUACCGCACCGAGCUCAUCGACUUCGACGUCGCCCACAUCUGCCUGCUGUACAACGCCAUCCUUGGGUAUCCGGCCCUGGCCAAGUUCAUGGCGGUCACCCACCGCGCCUAUAACGUGCUCAAGAUGCCUGGAAGCGGCGGGGUCACCACGGUCCUAUGUGAGGAAAGGGAUGCGGUGUGCUCCCUCGAGCGCGCCUUCCAAGAUGCAACAAUCGACGACCCCGACAGCAAAAGUGAGGGCCCACCGGAGGCCAUCGCCAAGAAGAAGCAGCUGCGCCGCGCAGGACCUCAGGAGGAUGGUGUCGCGACAGGAGCCUCACUAGGAUCAGCGUCCGUCCUAGGGGCGCCACCCUCCAUCGCGUAGGAAGGCGCGCCCAACGCCCUCCUCGGGUAGGGCUCUGGGGCUCUCUUCUAGAGGGCGUCAGGCCUUGCCAACCUCAUGAGGGAGGCACUCGGGCACUACUUGGAGGCAUGCUAGACGACAUGUUUUCCUCAGGAGAACACAGGGCAAGGGGUGCCCACCACUCAGGAGUUCAUCGCCAAGACCACACAGGAACUGCAAGACGCAAGAGACAUGCGCGGCGACAGCCGCUCAUAGGGCGCAGCUCACCACCCAGGCGAGGGUGCUGAGCUGCGCGUCUGCAUCGACGUCCCGGAGCUCAACAGGGCCGUGUCUCAGGAGCGCUUCUGGCCUUCGCGUGUGGGCCAUUGCGAGGGCCCGCCACAUAGCUAUGUUCGCAUGCCCCUCAGCUUGCCAAGCAUGGCAUCGGCCUAUCAGCGCAACCUGCGGCGUGACCUGGCGGCUCGAGAGGCCAGCUACCGCACCAUCCUGGAGGAAACGGAGAUGGUCUUCAGGGAGCCUCCUGAGCCCCCAGAGCCUCCCGAGGCUCAGGGCUCCGGUGGCUCAUGAGGAGUUAUUUCUUCGACGCACGCCUUCAGUUGUGCCAACUCUUCUUCGUCUACAGAACCAGGUGACAUCUUCCAACCUCGUUUAAGCUGGGACGCCCCUUGGGCUACAUUAUUCCCAGGCCGCAUGGGUCCAUCCCUGCGGCAUGUAUCCCUUUUUGCUCAUGUCUUUUAGCUUGCCUUGCUGGGGGCGCCCCUCAGGCUGCAUCAUCCCCAAGCCGCCCGGGCCGGACCCGGUGGCAUGUAUCUUCCUGAAUUUACCCAAAAGCUGAUUUUCCUUCCCUGCUUAACCUGCCUACAGUUACCACCUGCUCGAUCAUCGCCUCCCACGGGGCCUCCUCGCAGGCAUGGCACUGGUGCAUGGGUCCGUCCCUGCCACGUCGACAAAUCUAAGCGGUCGAGCUCUGGCUCGCGGCACGCCCCACGCACGUCACCUCACCAGGACAUCAGUGCCUUCACUUCAUCCGGACCAACCAGCGGCAGGCCGGUGGCAGUAACGGCAAACCAUGUUCUUCUUGUGCCUGUUCACAGGGACCCCGUGGGGAGGAUAGCAGGCGGCGCCGCGUGUCUCCUUUUCUCUCGUGCACUUCGCUUGUGCGUUAAAAGGGGGGCUCCUGAGCAUCGCGACUCAGGAGCUCUUACUGGCUCUCCAUCCCUCACCCCCUGGCCUUGACCACUGCAUCGCGACCUGGCAUACCAGCGGCGGUUGAGCUCGCUCGAGGGCUGGGACCUGAGGACGCAGAGCACUAAGGAGAGCAUGGAAAUAGGGAAACCCGUGUGGGCCGGCCUAGCUAUGUUGCACAAGUUGGCGCGCGUCCCUAGCGCAAUGUCGGGAAUCACCACGAAGUUCACAAGAUAAGUCUUGCCCUCGGAUCGGCUAAAUGUCUGAGCCUUAUGGUCACCCAUGCCUUGCCGAAACCCCAUUGUGGGCGACGUCAACUCCCUUUCUUCCCUUACCGUGGCUGCUUUAGUGCUAAGGGGGGCCUCCUAAGCAUCACGCCACAGGGGCUCUUACCGGACCUCGGGCCGCACACCUCCUGGCCUUGACCAUGGCACGCGACCUGGCAUAGCAGCGACGGCUGUAGCUUGCCUGGGGACCAGGACCUGUCGGCGUAGUGCAACAAGCCAUCAUGAGGAAAGAAAGGGGAGACUGAGCCUGAAUGGGACACGCGUUCACCAAAUCUUCAUAACAGGGAAAAUAAGCACAAAAGGCAUUACAGACCAUUAUAUGCCCCCGCGGGGCGCUUCAUGAUUCUUCGCAGGGAAUGAAAGCUAAGACUAAGAAGGACCCUAUCUACACCCUCCUGUGGCAGACACCAUCAUCAACAGUGGGCCACGGGAGGCCGGCGCCAACCCCAUCCAGAUCAGCGGUAGCGACGACCAGACGCGGCAGCACUGCUCCGAGCGCGGCGAGAGCUCGGGGGCACGUAGCUGUCGUCACUCGUCUCCGGAGACUCAUAGAGCUCAGGAGAGCUGCUGGACUCCCAAGGGCUGCUGCUGCUGGAGUGGCCGCGAGCGGAACGCGUGUCAGCCUCACGCUCCUCUCCGGAGCAGCACUCCAGGCGGCGGCCCUCGACGUCGAAGACCUUGAAGAAGAGCGUGGAGACGCCAUCGUACUCAAGGUGGAUCGCGAGGGCGCCCCUCACAUGGCAGACCCGCGCGAUCUCGCCCCAGCCACGAGUCAUGAAGAUCUUGCCGGAGGGGACCGCUUUGAUCUCUGCUCCAUUCACCAGAGCGCCGCAGUCGGCGUGCUGGAAUUAGAGCUCGAGAGGCCCCCGUGGCGGCACCACGUCGUAGAAGAACCGCAGGAAGGAGAUCCAGGAGCUUGGGGGCAUCGGCGCCCACAGCACCAGCUCACGCGAGGAGUCCGUGGCAUGGAUUCCAGGGGCAACGGCGUGCGUCGCCAUAGCACGGCGACCCCGGGCGCGGAGUGGGUGGCGCUCUGCCUUCCUGAGCCCUCGGCUUGGACAUACUGGGGUAACGGAUACCCUGGGGGAGGCCGCUCGCACCAAGGCCUCGUCACCACCUGCAUUGCCGCUUCGUCACGGCGGUGGAUCGCCCUUUUCUUCGGCGGAAGUGUCCUCGGGUUAUCUCGGGGACCUUCCCCUUUUCUUCGGCGGAGAACCAUCUGAUAGGCGCCAUUGAUGUUAGCAGCGGAGCAAGGAGGAAGAAGCAAGCAAGCGAGGAAGAGAUGGGCAACGGGGGCUCAACCCCCCUCCCCAUUUAUAGCAAGAGAAGGCCAACCUGCACCUCUCACAAUCGCAGGUAAUGAUGGUUUUCCUUGCAUGUCGCAGGGACUUGUCAAGUCAUGCAGUUGCCGAGGUAGCAUGGGGAAGCGGAGACGCCCAUGUCCAAUCAAACGCCACGCAUCAACCGAGGCCACAUGCUUUUCGUCUCCUGCAGUUCUUCGUACUUGACCCUUGGAUUCGCCGCGAAGCCAAGCCUGAGCGCACCUUGGGCUCGGGGUCUAUUGUCGGUGUUGUGGGAAUGGGGGUCCCCAGACUUGCCUACCUACGGCCCGCGGCCCAUAUUCAUCAACAAGGCAUCCAAGACCCUCGCGAGGGGGCAAGCCUCGCGAGGCGGACGACACAAGACCUCCUCUGGAGUGCCCUCAUCGGGCAGGCUCACGAGGGGCAGAGAUAACAAGGCGAGGCAAACCUCACGAGGCUCUCGUGACGUGAGCCAUGACGAUCGACACCAGGCGGGUGCCAGGCAGGCGCCAGCGCAUGUAGCGUCCUUGUUUCCUCUUUGGUGCUAAGGAGGCCAGUGCAAGUGAGGAGUACUGAGGCAUCAGGCAAAGGUUGCCAUAUCGGUGCAACAAGACCAAGACAUGAAGGACGGCAAGAUGGAGGUCAUUGUGGUGCCCAAGACGGCGUCACCACCAGAGCCUUUCGCAGGCGGAGACCACCUUUGUCGGGAUAGCUUGUACUAGUUGUCCCCCUGCAAAAUUGCCCGCCGUUGUUGGCUCCCUUCCCGCUCAAUAUUUGGGAAGAGGACCAGGGCCUCUAUAAAUAGGACUAGCCACCACCAUAGGAAAGAGAGAGCCUGAAGAUCAUCCCCACACACACAAGUUAGCCAAGCACGAGAAUGCCUCACUCUUAGGAGGCUGUUCUUCCCCUUGUAUUGUUCAUCAUCAACCCAAGAGGCAAUCCACCACCACCACAUUGGAGUAGGGUAUUACACCACAACGGUGGCCCGAACCAGUAUAAAUCUUAUGUCUUUCUAUGUUGCGAGUUCGCCGAGUUCGUCCGCGAGAUCUUAGCGAGCUAGGGCGUAGAUCGGUGGGAGGAAAACACUUCACGCACACCCCAGUGUUCGAACCUUAAGGGUUUGCCGGAACCCCACAUCCGACAGCCAGAAGUACCAGAGGGGGGGCACUCACCAGCCACGAGGGUGGGGGGAUGCGCCCUACCCCCCUGGGCACGCCCCUGCCUCGUGGGCCCCCUGAUGGCCCUCCGAUGCCCAUCUUCUGCUAUAUGGAUUCUUUCAUUGAGGAAAGAAAUUAUAAGCAAGCUUUCGGGACGAGACUCCGCCGCCAUGAGGUGGAACCUUGGCGGAACCAAUCUAGGGCUCCGGCAGAGCUGUUCUGCCAGGGACACUUCCCUCCGGGAGGGGGAAAUCAUCGCUAUCGUCAUCACCAACGCUCCUCUCAUCGGGAGGGGGCCAAUCUCCAUCAACAUCUUCACCAGCACCAUCUCCUCUCAAACCUUAGUUCAUCUCUUGUAUCCAAUUCUUGUCUCUAAGUCUGGGAUUGGUACCUGUAGGUUGCUAGUAGUGUUGAUUACUCCUCGUAGUUGAAGCUAGUUGGUUUAUUUGGUGGAAGAUCAUAUGUUCAGAUCCUAUAUGCAUAUUAAUACUCCUCUGAUUAUGAACAUGAAUAUGCUUUGUGGGUAGUUACGUUUGUUCCUGAGGGCAUGGGAGAAGUCUUGCUAUUAGUAGUCAUGUGAAUUUGGUAUUCGUUCGAUAUUUUGAUGAGAUGUAUGUUGUCUCUCCUCUAGUGGUGUUAUGUGAACGUCGACUACAUGACACUUCACCAUUAUUUGGGCCUAGAAGAAGGCAUUGGGAAGUAAUAAGUAGAUGAUGGGUUGCUAGAGUGACAGAAGCUUAAACCCUAGUUUAUGCGUUGCUUCGUAAGGGGUUGAUUUGGAUCCAUAUGUUUCAUGCUAUGGUUUGGUUUACCUUAAUACUUCUGUUGUAGUUGCGGCUGCUUGCAAUGGGGGUUAAUCAUAAGUGGGAUGCUUGUGCAAGUAAGGACAUCACCCAAGCACCGGUCCACCCACAUAUCAAAUUAUCAAAGUACCGAACGCGAAUCAUAUGAACAUGAUGAAAACUAGCUUGACGAUAAUUCCCAUGUGUCCUCGGGAGCGCUUUCCUUCAUAUAAGAGUUUGUACAGGCUUGUCCUUUGCUACAAAAAGGAUUGGGUCACCUUGCUGCACUUUAUUUACUUUUGUUACUUGUUGCUCGUUACAAAUUCUCUUAUCACAAAACUAUCUGUUAUCUAUAAUUUCAGUGCUUGCAGAGAAUACCUUCCUGAAAACCGCUUAUCAUUUCCUUCUGCUCCUCAUUGGGUUUGACACUCUUACUUAUCAAAAGGACAAUGAUAGAUCCCCUAUACUUGUAGGUCAACAAGACUCUUUUCUAGCGCCGUUGUCGGGGAGUGAAGCGCCUUUGGUAAGUGGAUUUUGGUAAGGAAAAAAUUAUAUAGUGUGCUGAAAUUUACUGUCAUUUAAUUUACUGUCAUUUGUUACUAUGGAAAGUAAUCCUUUGAGGGGCUUGUUCGGGGUAUCUUCACAUCGAGCAGUAGAGCAAAGAGUCACUCCUCAACCUACUCAACCUACUGAACCUACUGAAAAUGAAAAUGUCUACUUUGAAAUUCCUUCGGGUAUGAUAGAAAAACUGCUAGCUAAUCCUUUUGCAGGAGAUGGAACAUUACAUCCUGAUGAGUACCUAAUAUAUGUGGAUGAAGUUUGUGGAUUAUUUAAGCUUGCAGGUAUGCCCGAUGAUGUUAUCAAGAAGAAGGUAUUCCCUUUAUCUUUGAAGGGAGAUGCAUUGAAAUGGUAUAGGCUAUGUGAUGAUAUGGGAUCAUGGAACUACAAACGAUUGAAAUUGGAAUUUCAUCAGAAGUUUUUUCCUACGCAUCUUGUUCAUCGUGAUCACAAAUAUAUAUAAUUUUUGGCCUCGCGAAGGAGAAAGCAUCGCUCAAGCUUGGGGGAGGCUUAAAUCAAUGUUAUAUUCAUGCCCCAAUCAUGAGCUCUCAAGAGAAAUGAUUAUCCAAAAAAUUUAUGCUCGGCUUUCUGAUAACAAUCGCACCAUGCUCGAUACUUCUUGUGCUGGCUCUUUUAUGAUGAAGACUAUUGAAUUCAAAUGGAAGUAUCGGAAAGAAUUAAACGCAACUCUGAAGAUUGGGAUCUCGACGAAGGUAAGGAGUCAGGUAUGACACCUAAGUUUGAUUGUGUCAAAUCUUUUAUGGAUACCGAUGUUUUCCGUAAAUUUAGCACUAAAUAUGGACUUGAGUCUAAGAUAGUAGCAUCUUUCUGUGAAUCUUUUGCUACUCAUGUUGAUAUCCCUAAGGAGAAGUGGUUUAAGUAUCAUCCUCCCAUAGAAGUAAAAGUAGUUGCACCUAUUAAAGUUGAAGAAAAGACUAUCACUUAUAAUGAUCCUAUUAUUUCUACUGCUUACGUUGAGAAACCACCUUUUCCUGUUAGGAUAAAAGAUCAUGCUAAAGCUUCAACUGUGGUUCGUAAAAGCAAUAUUAGAACCUAUACACCUCCUGAGCAAGUUAAAGUUGAACCUAAUAUUGCUAUUGUUAAGGAUCUCUUGGCUGAUAAUAUUGAUGGGCAUGUUAUUUAUUUCUGUGAUGAAACUGCUAGAAUUGCUAAACCUUGUGCUAAAGAUAAACAUAGACCUGUGGUAGGCAUGCCUGUUAUUUCUGUUAAAAUAGGAGAUCAUUGUUAUCAUGCCUUGUGUGGUAUGGGUGCUAGUGCUAGUGCAAUACCUAUUGACUUAUACAAAUAAAUUAUUCAUGAUAUUGCACCUGCUGAGUUAGAAGAUAUUGAUGUCACAAUUAGUGCCAAUAGAGAUACUAUUUCACCAAUUGGGAUUGUUAGAGAUGUUGAAGUCUUGUGUGGGAAAACUAAAUAUCCUGCUGAUUUUCUCGUUCUUGGUUCCCCACAAGAUAGCUUUUGUCCCAUUAUAUUUGGUAGACCCUUCUUAAACACUGUUAAUGCUAGGAUAGACUGCAAAAAGAAUGUUGUUACUAUUGGGUUAGGUGAUAUGUCUCAUGAGUUCAACUUUUCUAAAUUUCGUAGACAAUACCGUGAAGAGGAAUUGCAUAGUAAAGAUGAAAUUAUUGGUCUUGCUUCUAUUGCCGUACCUCCUAGUGAUCCUUUAGAAUAAUAUUUGCUAGACCAUGAAAAUGAUAUGUUUAUGAAUGAAAGAAGGGAAAUAGAUGAAGUGUUCUUUAAACAGGGACCUAUUCUGAAACACAACUUGCAUGUUGAAAUCAUAGGGGAUCCUCCUCCACCCAAGGGUGAUCCCGUGUUUGAGCUUAAACCAUUGCCUGAUACUCUUAAAUAUGCUUAUCUUGAUGAAAAGAAGAUAUAUCCUGUUAUUAUUAGUGCUAACCAUUCAGAGAAGGAGGAAGAAAAAUUAUUGAAAACUCUGAAGAAGCACCGUGCUGCUAUUGGAUAUACUCUUGAUGAUCUUAAGGGCAUUAGUCCCACUCUAUGUCAACACAAAAUAAACUUGGAGAAAGAUGCCAAACCAGUUAUUGAUCAUCAAUGACGGCUGAAUCCUAAGAUGAAAGAAGUGGUAAGAAAAUAAAUACUAAAGCUCCUUGAGGCAGGUAUAAUUUAUCCCGUUGCUCAUAGUCAGUGGGUAAGUCCUGUCCAUUGUGUUCCUAAGAAGGGAGGUAUUACUGUCAUUCCUAAUGAUAAAGAUAAAUUGAUUCCGCAAAGAAUUAUUACAGGUUAUAGGAUGGUAAUUGACUUCCACAAAUUAAAUAAGGCUACUAAAAAGAUCAUUACCCCUUACCUUUCAUUGAUCAAAUGCUAGAAAGAUUAUCCAAACAUACACAUUUUUGCUUUCUAGAUGGUUAUUCUGGUUUCUCUCAAAUACCUGUGUCAGCUAAUGAUCAAUCAAAGACCACUUUUACUUUCCCUUUCUGUACUUUUUCUUAUAGACAUAUGCCUUUUGGUUUAUGUAAUGCACCUACUACCUUUCAAAGAUGCAUGAUGGCUAUAUUCUCUGACUUUUGUGGAAAGAUUUGUGAGGUUUUCAUGGAUGAUUUCUCCGUCUAUGGAUCCUCUUUUGAUGAUUGCUUAAGCAACCUUGAUCGAGUUUUGCAGAGAUGUGAAGAAACUAACCUUGUCUUGAAUUGGGAGAAGUGCCACUUUAUGGUUAAUGAAGGUAUUGUCUUGGGGCACAAAAUUUCUGAAAGGGGCAUUGAAGUUGAUAAAGCUAAAGUUGAUGCUACUGAAAAGAUGUCGUGUCCCAAGGACAUCAAAGGUAUAAGAAGUUUCCUUGGUCAUGCUGACUUUUAUAGGAGGUUCAUUAAGGACUUCUCAAAAAUUUCUCGGCCUCUGACUAAUUUAUUACAAAAAGAUACACCAUUCGUCUUUGAUGAUGAUUGUGUAGAAGCAUUUGAAAUACUUAAGAAAGCAUUGAUCUCUGCACCUAUUGUUCAGUCACCUGAUUGGAAUUUACCUUUUGAAAUUAUGUGUGAUGCUAGCGAUUAUGCUGUAGGUGCUGUUCUAGGGCAAAGAGUUGAUAAGAAAUUAAAUGUUAUUCAAUAUGCUAGUAAACUCUAGACAAUGCCCAGAGAAAUUAUUCUACUACUGAAAAAGAAUUCUUAGCAGUUGUAUUUGCUUGUGAUAAGUUCAGACCUUAUAUUGUUGAUUCUAAAGUAACUAUUCACACGGAUCAUGCUGCUAUUAAAUAUCUUAUGGAAAAGAAAGAUGUUAAACCUAGACUUAUUAGAUGGGUUCUCUUGCUACAAGAAUUUGAUUUGCAUAUUAUUGAUAGAAAGGGAGCUAAGAACCCCGUUCCAGAUAACUUGUCUAGGUUAGAAAAUGUUCUUGAUGACCCACUACCCAUUGAUGAUAGCUUUCCCGAUGAACAAUUAAAUGUCAUAAAUGCUUCUCAUACUGCUCCAUGGUAUGCUGAUUAUGCUAAUUACAUUGUUGCUAAAUUUAUACCACCUAGUUUCACAUACCAGCAAAAGAAAAAGUUUUUCUAUGAUUUAAGACAUUCCUUUUGGGAUGACCCACAUCUUUAUAAAGAAGGAGUAGAUGGUGUUAUUAGGCGUUGUGUACCUGAGCAUGAACAUGAACAGAUCCUACGCAAGUGUCACUCCAAAGCUUAUGAAGGACACCACACUAGAGAUAGAACUGCACAUAAGGUACUCCAAUCCGGUUUUUAUUGGCCUACUCUCUUCAAGGAUGCCCAUAAGUUUGUCUUAUCUUGUGAUGAAUGUCAAAGAAUUGGUACUAGUAGUAGACGCCAAGAAAUGCCUAUGAAUUAUUCACAUGUUAUUGAACCAUUUGAUGUUUGGGGCUUUGAUUAUAUGGGACCGUUUCCUGCCUCUAAUGGAUAUACACAUAUUUUAGUUGCUGUUGAUUACGUUAAUAAGUGGGCAGAAGCUAUUCCAACUAGUAGUGCUGAUCAUAACACCUCUAUUAAGAUGCUUAAAGAAGUUAUUUUUCCGAGGUUUGGAGUCCCUAGAUAUUUAAUGACUGAUGGUGGUUCACAUUUUAUUCAUGGUGCUUUCCGUAAAAUGCUUGCUAAGUAUGAUGUUAAUCAUAGAAUUCCAUCUCCUUAUCACCCACAGUCUAGUGGUCAAGUAGAAUUGAGUAAUAGAGAACUCAAAUUAAUUUUGCAAAAGACUGUUAAUAGAUCUAGAAAGAUUUGGUCCAAGAAACUUGAUGAUGCAUUAUGGGCCUAUAGAACUGCAUAUAAAAAUCCUAUGGGUAUGUCUCUGUAUAAAAUGGUUUAUGGAAAAGCAUGUCACUUACCUCUCGAACUAGAACAUAAGGCUUAUUAGGCUAUUAACGAGCUCAAUUAUGAUUUCAAACUUGCCGGUGAGAAAAGGUUAUUUGACAUUAGCUCACUUGAUGAAUGGAGAACCCAAGCCUAUGAGAAUGCCAAAUUGUUUAAAGAAAAAGUUAAAAGAUGGCAUGCCAAAAGGGUACAAAAGCGUGAGUUUAAUGUAGGUGAUUUUGUAUUGCUAUACAACUCUCAUUUAAGAUUUUUUGCAGGAAACUUCUCUCUAAAUGGGAAGGUCCUUACGUUAUCGAGGAGGUCUAUCGCUCCGGUGCCAUAAAAUCGACAACUUCGAAGGCACAAAUCCGAAGGUGGUGAACGGUCAAAGAAUCAAACAUUAUAUCUCAGGUAAUCCUAUAAAUGUUGAAAACAAUGUUAUUGAAACCAUAACCCCGGAAGAAUACAUAAGGGACACUUUCAGAACGUUUCAGACUCCGAAAAAUAAUAGGUAUGUGGUACGGUAAGUAAACCGACUCCAAAACAGUUCUAAUGGCAAUUUUUCUCCAUUUUGGAAUAUUUAGAAAAAUAGAAAAAUAAGAAGAAGUCCGGGAAGGACACGAGGACUCCACGAGGGUGGAGGGCGCGCCCCCCUACCUCGUGGGCACCUCGUGUGCUCUCCGGACUCCGUUUUCUUAUACGAUACAUAUUUUGGUCGGUAAAAAUUCAUUAUAUAAUCUCCCGAAGGUUUUGACUCCCGUAUCACGCAAUUAUCCUCUUUUUGUGUUUCGAGCUGUUGCUACUGCAGAUUAGAGCAAGAUGUCUUCUCAAGAGUCAGUCGGGGAGAGCUGGGUGUCUCAUCCGGCAUCGAGAUCAAUGACAAACAGCAAUGCUAACCACUUUGGGCCAGCAACGGAGGAAGAGAUGGAGGCUGAUUUGAAGAGGAUAGAUGCCAUGGAGGAGGAUCAAGAAGUCACUUCUCGCUUCCGAGCUGGAUUCACAAUGGGGGAACUACAGAGCUCGGCUAUCCCAAACUCGGUUAUCCCUUCCAAUGUUAGAUUUCUUUCUUAUGAAAAUAUGAAGAAGAGUGUCACUUGUUCCCCCGCAGCUAUGCAACACCCUUGGGUGCAAGGAGCUUUGGCCGUUACAGGAAAGCUUCGAAAGGAAAUAAUGGACCUCAAGCAGCAAGUCAAUAAGCUCGAAGAGGAGAAUCGUAUCCUGAGGGGAAUCAUCGCCAAGAAUAUCACAUCACCAUCCACGAAAAAGGAGACGUAAUCACAUGGGUAUGCGCACUCCCCUUGGAAAAUGCCAAGCUUGGGGGAGGUGCCCCGGUAUCGUAUCACCAUCACAUCUCUAUCUUUAGCUUUUUUCUUAGAUCGAUCCUUUUAGUAAUAUCUUGAUCCAGUAGAAUAAAGUUUUUGGUAUGAUCUAGUUUUGAGUUUUGCUUUAUGAUCCCUCUAUGUAAUCGAGUCCGUGAGCUAUAUAAUAAAGAUUAGUGUUGAGUCAAGGGAUUGAUUAUCUUGCUAUGAUCUUCAGUGAAUAAAAUAAAAAAAAAAGAAU
rnacentral:lncRNA from 1 species